CUUCGGAUGCAGCCCUAAAAAGACAAAAGGCGGCAAAAAAAAAAAAAAAAAUUGGUAUUUUUCAACAGCUGUGUUUCUGCAGGGGGGCAGAGAAAGCUUUCCAUUAAGCUGAGCUGGUGACAGGCACUCUGUCCCACCUGCCUGGUUUUGUCCUUGGAGAAGUAGGAGGGAGGCACAUCAGCCGCCUGGCCCCAGCCUCUGAACCUCCUGCACCAGCUGGUAAAAACAGAGGCGAGGAGGUUAUUGCAAGGAAGUUAAAGAGGGUGUCUAGGAACCAGUUAGGCACGCCGGGCCGGGCCAGAGCAGGCUGGCUGCUACCUGGGCUGUGGUCAGCACCCAGGAAAGAGUGACUCACCACGGCCUUGCUGUGCGUCACACAGCGUCACUCAACACUGGGCACGAAACUGGUGCCAGGACCUGACAGUGGGAGAUGGGUUAGAAGGGUCAGGCGAGCCUGCCCCAGCCAUUUGCUGUCACCAUCCUUGUCCUGGUGAAAGAUGAGAGCAGGCAUUCAGGGCCUCAGUUGCCCACCUGUGUAGGUAACUCACUCAUGUUCACCUGCUGUUCCAUCCCCUGAGGCCACCCACUUCAGAGACGGGUCAUGGAAGCACGUGGCCUUCUUAGGCGGCAACAGAUGUGGGUUCAGUUCAGACUCCACUACUUGAUAGCUAGAAAACCUUGGGUGAUUCAGUUAAGCUCUGACCUGUUUCUCCAGUUAUAAAAUGCAGAUAACACACCUGCCUCACCCUUCUCAUGAGGAUGAGUCAAGGAUCACAUGAGGAGAGGCUCUCAGGGGUUAUUGUUUGGAUGGAGGUGGCAAGGACCAUCAGCAAUCUUCAGGCAGCAGGACCCACUUUGGAUGCUGCUGGGAAACCCUCCAGACCCAAACGGGAGCAGGAGAAGUCUCAUGGAUAUGCCUGUGCAAACCCCUGAGCUGAUCCUAAAAUGCAAGGAAAUCCUAAAAUGCAAAAGGCAAAGAAGAGCCAAGGCAAUCUUGAGGAGAAAGAACAAGGUGAGUGGGAAUUGCCUACAUGCAUUUAAGAUUUGCUUAAGACUGAGAAGAUAACAAACAGAUCGUCAGAACAGAACAGAGUGUCCAGAAACAGAGUUACCUCAUACAGAAACUUGAGUAUGUGACACACAUGUGAUACUCAUCAGCAGGAGGGGUUGUAAACUUCAGUAAAUGGUGCUGGUCAAUUGGUUAUCCAAAUAGGAAAAUGAUAAAAUUACACCCACCCCUCACUGCAGACGGAAAUCAAUUCCAAGAAAGUUAAAGCACUAGAUGGGAAAAGCAAAACUUUAAACUGUCUCAAAGAAAAUAUAUUUAUGACCUCGGGUGGGAAAAGAUUUAAGUAACCCCUCCCCCCC